AACAACCCAGGAUGGGGGGCCAGCCCAUCACAGUACACACUCACACGCUAGUCACACCUACGGGCAAUUCAGCAAGUCCAAAUCACUUCAGUGUAUUUUUGGAUUGUACCCAGAGGAAACCCCAUGAAGACACGGGGAGAACAUGCAAACUCCACAUACAUGGAACCAUGGCAGAGAUUUGAACUUUGGUCCCAGAGGUACCACUACAGCAGCGCACCACCCCUAUGCAUGUUCUUUGGUUUGCACUUCUCAAACCACCGCUGUUUGGAGAUCCCUCCGCAACACAAGAAGUCUCUAGUCCCGCCUCCUCUGGUUGCUUGGACCCGCCUCCUCUACAAUCUGAUUGGUUAUCUCUCUGAACCAAUCAGUUUUCCUUCUGCCCUCAGAACAUUUUUGGCAUGAGGACUGAAGAAUAGAUGGCCAUCAUGACAACUGACUGCUGGUGGGAAGGGUCCGCUCUUUGACGUUUGGACUGACAGCAUAACAGACCAUAUCAACACCUUUCAGCAUCCUGCCAGCCACAUGUCACCAGCAGAGGGAAACUCAAUAAAGCCUUCAGAGACAAGUAAAGAAUGUUCAUUUCCUCAUAAAUACCAAAAUGGUGCAAGUCUGAAAAUGGUGAAAGCAUUCAAUCUAAGAAUUUACUGUCGAUUUUUGUUAGCGAUAUGUUUUGGCGAAGUAGGAUGCAAGGAUACAAAAGCAGGUGCAGUGGUUGGCAUUGUUACCUCACAUCUCACCAGGCACCAGGGUUCAAGUCUCCGCCCUGGGUGUGGAGUUUAGUCCCCCCCCCCUUUGCAGCUAUAACAGCUGCCACUCUUCUGGGGAGCUUUUCCACAACAUUUUGCAGUGUGUCUGCGGGAAUUUUUGGAAUUCAUCAAGAAGAGCAUUUUUGAGGUCAAGCACUGAUGUCGAUGUGAAGGCCUGGCUUGCGAUCUCUGUUCUAGUUCAUCUCAAAGGUGUUUGAUGGGGUUGAGGUCAGGGCUCUGUGUGGACCAGUCAAGUUCUUCCACAUCAAACUCACCGAACCAUGUCUUUAUGGACCUUGCUUCGUGCACUGAGGCACAGUCAUGCUGGAACAAAAGAGGGCUUUCCUCAAAGUGUUCACACACAGCUGCAAGCAGAGAAUUGUCCAAAAUGUUUUUCCAUGCUGAACCAUUAAAGAACUAAGGGGCCCAACCCCUGAAAAACACCCCCAUACCCUUAUCCCUCUUCCACCAAAUUUUACAGUUAGCACAAUGCAGUCAGGCAGGUAAUGUUCUCCUGACAUCUGCCAAACCAAGACUUGUCCAUCAGAC